rnacentral:ribozyme from 1 species
UAAAAGAGGGAAAGAAAGAAGAGGAGGAGGAAGAAGAGAUGAGGACAGUGAGUGGUAAUAUCUGUCAAUUAUGUGGGAUAUUAUACCGUUCUUUGUUUUCCGUCACUCCCCCCUCUUUUCAAUCCACCAUUCUUUCUUUCUCUUCCCAAUUGU